GUGGGGAAUUUUGGACAAUGGGCGCAAGCCUGAUCCAGCAAUGCCGCGUGCAGGAAGAAGGCCUUCGGGUUGUAAACUGCUUUUGUACGGAACGAAACGGCUCUGGUUAAUACCCGGGGCUAAUGACGGUACCGUAAGAAUAAGCACCGGCUAACUACGUGCCAGCAGCCGCGGUAAUACGUAGGGUGCAAGCGUUAAUCGGAAUUACUGGGCGUAAAGCGUGCGCAGGCGGUUGUGUAAGACAGGCGUGAAAUCCCCGGGCUCAACCUGGGAAUUGCGCUUGUGACUGCACGGCUGGAGUGCGGCAGAGGGGGAUGGAAUUCCGCGUGUAGCAGUGAAAUGCGUAGAUAUGCGGAGGAACACCGAUGGCGAAGGCAAUCCCCUGGGCCUGCACUGACGCUCAUGCACGAAAGCGUGGGGAGCAAACAGGAUUAGAAACCCGUGUAGUCC
rnacentral:rRNA from 1 species